rnacentral:rRNA from 2 species
GUAGUUGAAUUUUAGCCCUGGCUGGGCGGUCCACCUUUGGAUGGUACUGCUCUGGCUGGGGUUUACCUUUCUGGUGAGCCGUCAUGCCCUUUGCUGGGUGUGGCGGGGAACCAGGACUUUUACCUUGAAAAAAUUAGAGUGUUUAAAGCAGGCCAAUUGCUUGAAUACAUUAGCAUGGAAUAAUGAAAUAGGACCUCGGUUCUAUUUUGUUGGUUUCUAGGACCGAAGUAAUGAUUAAUAGGGAUAGUUGGGGGCAUUAGUAUUUAGUAGCUAGAGGUGAAAUUCUUGGAUUUACGAAAGACUAACUUCUGCGAAAGCAUUUGCCAAGGAUGUUUUCAUUAAUCAAGAACGAAAGUUAGGGGAUCGAAGACGAUCAGAUACCGUCGUAGUCUUAACCAUAAACUAUGCCGACUAGGGAUCAGACUGUCGUUAAUUUACUGACGCGUUUGGCACCUUAUGAGAAAUCAAAGUUUUUGGGUUCCGGGGGGAGUAUGGUCGCAAGGCUGAAACUUAAAGGAAUUGACGGAAGGGCACCACCAGGAGUGGAGCCUGCGGCUUAAUUUGACUCAACACGGGGAAACUCACCAGGUCCAGACAUAGUAAGGAUUGACAGAUUGAGAGCUCUUUCUUGAUUCUAUGGGUGGUGGUGCAUGGCCGUUCUUAGUUGGUGGAGUGAUUUGUCUGCUUAAUUGCGUUAACGAACGAGACCUUAACCUGCUAAAUAGUUAUGCCAACUUUUGUUGGUAGCCAACUUCUUAGAGGGACUGUCGGCAUCAAGCCGACGGAAGUUUGAGGCAAUAACAGGUCUGUUAUGCCCUUAGAUGUCCUGGGCCGCACGCGCGCUACACUGAUGAAGUCAACGAGUUUAUAACCUUGGCCGGAAGGU